AGUCGGACAGAUGAUCGCGGCUGCAAGUGCCGAAAGGCCGCAGGUGAGGAAAGUCCGGGCUUCAUAGGGCAGGGUGCCGGAUAACGUCCGGUGGAGGCGACUCCCAGACAAGUGCAACAGAAAGAAACCGCCAGGAUGAAUAUCCUGGUAAGGGUGGAAAGGCGAGGUAAGAGCUCACCGCUUGCCUGGUAACAGGCAAGGCUCUGUAAACUCCACUCGAAGCAAGACCGAACAGAAAGCAAUACAGUUGCCCGCUGUGCUUUCGGGUAGGUUGCUGGAACCGAUUGGUAACAAUCGGUCUAGAUAGAUGAUCAUCCACGACAUAACCCGGCUUAUCGUCCGACUCU
rnacentral:RNase_P_RNA from 1 species